GCCCAAGUGGUGGAAUUGGUAGACACGCUAUCUUGAGGGGGUAGUGGCGCAAGCCGUUCCGGUUCAAGUCCGGACUUGGGCACCA
rnacentral:tRNA from 2 species